AAAAAUACAUUCAUUUUUAUUACAAAAAUUUGAUGUCACAGGAACUUUAAAAGCGAUUUUAAAUUAUUAACAACAGGGCAUCAGUACUACAAAGCUCAACAAAUAUUUAUCUUUUAUCAGAGCCCAAGUUCAUUCCAAACGGCAAAAAGUGUUUCAGCUGUGAAGGACUAAAAUGCACCAGAGGUCUGAACUGUGAGGGGAGCGAGGACUACUGCAUCAAAUCCUCACUGACUGUCGGAGGGGAAAUGAAGCUCAUGAAGGGCUGCGCCUCAAAGAUUAUGUGCUCGGAUAAUUCGUCUGCACUUUUACAAAAUUACCUUGGAUCUGGAAGCAGCUGCUGCCUGGGCGACUACUGCAACAGGGCGAGCUGUAAAAGUGCUGGCCUGCUUCUGCUGACAGUGCCACUCAUCUUAGUGCUUUGUUUUCUUAGCAGAUGAAAACAGCAUCAGUGAAAACACAGUAUCACUGAGUCAACACCUCAGUUUUUCUGUCUUCAGCUGAUUUUAAAAUGCACAUGACAAUUAAUAAAAAAUGCUUUAUUUCCUUUCAUCUACCUGUCUUAUUGCUUAUAUAAUUUUUUACUUAAAUAAAAAUGAAAAAACA